UGGAGGGCAAGUCUGGUGCCAGCAGCCGCGGUAAUUCCAGCUCCAAUAGCGUAUAUUAAAGUUGUUGCAGUUAAAAAGCUCGUAGUUGAAUUUCGGGAUCAAUUUAUUGGUCGUGCCAACGGUACGCACUGGUACAAUUGGUUUCUCCCUUCUGACGAAGCAUGAUGUCAUUAAUUUGAUGUCGUGGGGAAUCAGGACUGUUACUUUGAAAAAAUUAGAGUGUUUAAAGCAGGCUUUGGCUUGAAUACAUUAGCAUGGAAUAAUGAAAUAGGACGUUUGAUCUUAUUUCGUUGGUUUCUAAGAUCGACGUAAUGAUUAAUAGGGAUAGUUGGGGGCAUUAGUAUUCAAUUGUCAGAGGUGAAAUUCUUGGAUUUAUUGAAGACUAACUACUGCGAAAGCAUUUGCCAAGGAUGUUUUCAUUAAUCAAGAACGAGAGUUAGGGGAUCGAAGACGAUCAGAUACCGUCGUAGUCUCAACCAUAAACUAUGCCGACUAGGGAUCGGAUGAUGUUAAUUUUUUAAUGACUCAUUCGGCGCCUUACGGGAAAC
rnacentral:rRNA from 1 species